rnacentral:rRNA from 1 species
CCCAAUUGGCGGCGUGCCUAUACAUGCAGUCGAGCGCAGGAAGCAAGUUGAUCCCCUUCGGGGGUGACGCUUGUGGAAUGAGCGGCGGACGGGUGAGUAACACGUGGGCAACCUGCCUGUAAGACUGGGAUAACCCCGGGAAACCGGGGCUAAUACCGGAUAAUACUUUCUUUUGCAUAAAGGAAAGUUGAAAGGCGGCUUCGGCUGUCACUUACAGAUGGGCCCGCGGCGCAUUAGCUAGUUGGUGAGGUAACGGCUCACCAAGGCGACGAUGCGUAGCCGACCUGAGAGGGUGAUCGGCCACACUGGGACUGAGACACGGCCCAGACUCCUACGGGAGGCAGCAGUAGGGAAUCUUCCGCAAUGGACGAAAGUCUGACGGAGCAACGCCGCGUGAGUGAUGAAGGUUUUCGGAUCGUAAAACUCUGUUGUUAGGGAAGAACAAGUUGGGUAGUAACUGACCCAGCCUUGACGGUACCUAACCAGAAAGCCACGGCUAACUACGUGCCAGCAGCCGCGGUAAUACGUAGGUGGCAAGCGUUGUCCGGAAUUAUUGGGCGUAAAGCGCUCGCAGGCGGUCCUUUAAGUCUGAUGUGAAAUCUCGCGGCUCAACCGCGAACGGUCAUUGGAAACUGGAGGACUUGAGUACAGAAGAGGAGAGUGGAAUUCCACGUGUAGCGGUGAAAUGCGUAGAGAUGUGGAGGAACACCAGUGGCGAAGGCGACUCUCUGGUCUGUAACUGACGCUGAGGAGCGAAAGCGUGGGGAGCGAACAGGAUUAGAUACCCUGGUAGUCCACGCCGUAAACGAUGAGUGCUAGGUGUUAGGGGGUUUCCGCCCCUUAGUGCUGAAGUUAACGCAUUAAGCACUCCGCCUGGGGAGUACGGCCGCAAGGCUGAAACUCAAAAGAAUUGACGGGGGCCCGCACAAGCGGUGGAGCAUGUGGUUUAAUU